rfam:Ciona savignyi cont_33097, whole genome shotgun sequence.
GGUAGCAUGGGCCGAGAGGUCUAAGGCGCUGGUUUAAGGCACCAGUAAUUUCGAUGGCGUGGGUUCGAAUCCCACUGCUGCCA